rnacentral:rRNA from 1 species
UCUUGACCUCGGAUCAGGUAGGGAUACCCGCUGAACUUAAGCAUAUCAUAAGG